rnacentral:rRNA from 1 species
UACGGAGGGUGCAAACGUUGCUCGGAAUCAUUGGGCGUAAAGCGCACGUAGGCGGUUUGUUAAGUCGGGUGUGAAAGCCCUGGGCUCAACCCAGGAAGUGCACUCGAAACUGGCAGGCUUGAAUAUGGAAGAGGGUCGCGGAAUUCCCGGUGUAGAGGUGAAAUUCGUAGAUAUCGGGAGGAACACCAGUGGCGAAGGCGGCUCACUGGCCCAUUACUGACGCUGAGGCACGAAAGCGUGGGGAGCAAACGGG